rnacentral:rRNA from 1 species
GACGGAGGAUGCAAGCGUUAUCCGGAAUGAUUGGGCGUAAAGCGUUCGCAGGUGGCUGUUCAAGUCUGCUGUCAAAGACCGGGGCUUAACCCUAGAAAGGCAGUGGAAACUGGACGGCUGGAGUGCAGUAUGGGUAGAGGGAAUUCCCAGUGUAGCGGCGAAAUGCGUAGAGAUUGGGAAGAACUCCGGUGGCGAAAGCGCUCUGCUGGACUGCAACUGACACUGAGGGACGAAAGCUAGGGGAGCGAAAGGG